ACUCCUACGGGAGGCAGCAGUGGGGAAUAUUGCACAAUGGGCGCAAGCCUGAUGCAGCCAUGCCGCGUGUGUAGAAGCAUGGCCUUCGGUUGAUAAGCACUUUCAGUUGUGAGGAAGGUGGUGUCGUUAAUAGCGGCAUCAUUUGACGUUAGCAACAGAAGAAGCACCGGCUAACUCCGUGCCAGCAGCCGCGGUAAUACGGAGUGGUGCGAGCUAGUUGAAUUCGGAAUUACUGGGCGUAAAGCGCAUGCAGGUGGUUUGUUAAGUCAGAUGUGAAAGCCCGGGGCUCAACCUCGGAACUGCAUUUGAAACUGGCAGACUAGAGUACUGUAGAGGGGGUAGAAUUUCAGGUGUAGCGGUGAAAUGCGUAGAGAUCUGAAGGAAUACCGGUGGCGAAGGCGGCCCCCUGGACAGAUACUGACACUCAGAUGCGAAAGCGUGGGGAGCAAACAGGAUUAGAUACCCUGGUAGGAUAG
rnacentral:rRNA from 1 species